rnacentral:rRNA from 1 species
UACGUAGGGUGCAAGCGUUGUCCGGAAUUAUUGGGCGUAAAGAGCUCGUAGGCGGUCUGUCGCGUCUGCUGUGAAAAACCUGGGGGCUUAACCCCCGGGCCUGCAGUGGGGUACGGGCAGACUAGAGUGUGGUAGGGGGAGACUGGAAUUCCUGGUGUAGCGGUGAAAAUGCGCAGAUAUCAGGAGGAACACCGGUGGCGAAGGCGGGUCUCUGGGCCAUAACUGACGCUGAGGAGCGAAAAGCGUGGGGGAGCGAACAGG